GGUGAAGAACGUAGCGAAAUGCGAUACGUAAUGUGAAUUGCAGAAUUCAGUGAAUCAUCGAGUCUUUGAACGCACAUUGCGCCCUCUGGUAUUCCGGAGGGCAUGCCUGUCCGAGCGUCAUUGCUGCCCUCAAGCACGGCUUGUGUGUUGGGCCCCGCCCCCCGAUCCCGGGGGGCGGGCCCGAAAGGCAGCGGCGGCACCGCGUCCGGUCCUCGAGCGUAUGGGGCUUUGUCACCCGCUCUGUAGGCCCGGCCGGCGCUUGCCGAUCAACCAAACUUUUUUCCAGGUUGACCUCGGAUCAGGUAGGGAUACCCGCUGAACUUAAGCAUAUCAAUAAGCGGAGGA
rnacentral:misc_RNA from 1 species